rnacentral:rRNA from 1 species
GACGGGCCCGCACAAGCAGCGGAGCGUGUGGUUAAUUCGAUGUUACACGAAGAACCUUACAGGGUUUGACAUGCAAGUGGUAGGAAGCCGAAAGGUGACCGACCCUUCGGGGAGCUUGCACAGGUGCUGCAUGGCUGUCGUCAGCUCGUGUCGUGAGAUGUUCGGUUAAGUCCGCUAACGAGCGCAACCCUCGCUGUGUGUUAUAUGUGUCACACGGGACUGCCGGUCUUAAGCCGGAGGAAGGUGGGGAUGAUGUCAAGUCAGCAUGGCCUUUAUAUCCUGGGCUACACACGCUACAAUGGCCAACACAAUAGGUUGCUAAGCCGCGAGGUGGCGCCAAUCCAUAAAGUUGGUCUCAGUUCAGAUUGUAGGCUGCAACCCGCCUGCAUGAAGAUGGAGUUGCUAGUAACCGCAGGUCAGCUAUACUGCGGUGAAUACGUUCCCGGGGCUU